ACGAUUCGUAAAACAGGUACCGGUAAAUUUACAUUCACGUCAUCAAACAUUCUGAAAUCUUAUUUAUGAGAUCAAAUAUAUCGAGUGUUCAAGGCCAUUGAAAGCGAUGAUCUUUACUAUCCCACUUGAUUAUACCUUCUCUGUUCUUUUCUAAUAGUCUUAUUUCGUCUUACUACGAUUCGCCCAAUGUAACUUGCCGAUUAGCAGCGGAAACUCGCGAAGUGAGCCGACCAACGUUACAAAAGGUAUUUAAAGCAACGGUCCUAAGCAGAUCUAUAAUAAUAAACAUUUUUCUACCCUCGA